AUUUCUCGCAGUGGCUGACUUUAAUCAAAGGCUUGCCGGCUUCCGCACCGUGCAUGGCGCUUCCUCUUCUCCUCGCAAACGCGCACCUGGCUAACCUGAUCGACCGUGACGUCACCCUGAUUGACAGCCUCAUGGCCGAACCAGGCAGGUACGGGGGAGAGGCGACCGCCCCUUGUUUCCCGCUCCGGGAGGAGAAGACCGGCGGAAACGAAGCGCCUGGUCCCGCCCCUGCUGCUGCUCUUGGCUGUGCCCCGUCCCCGCCUCGCCGCGCCGCUGUGGGUCCUCCUUGCUACGGAGGGCGGGCGCCGUGGGGCUGCAGUGCGGCCGCCUGAAGUGUGUAUGGGGACACGCAGAGUCGGCGAGGGCCCGCCACAAAGCAUUGUGGAGCAGCAUGUUGAGACACCACCUGAAAUGCCGGCUUCCUGCGUGGGCACUGGUUGAUGUCCUGGCUGUGCCACUUCCGAUCCAACUUCCGGGCUCCUGACUUCUGCCUGGCCCAGACCUGAGUGGCCAGAGAACGAACCAGCAAAUGGAAGCUUUGUGCUCCUGGAUACUUUCCCAAGGGAGUGAAGACUUGCGUCUGCAGGAAGACCCACCCACAGCCCUCUGUAGCAGCUUCCUUCCUCACUGCCAGAUUUGGGAAGCCCCCAGGAUGCUCUUCAGCAGGUGUCAGAAACUCAACUACUUGAGCCAUCUCUGCGGCCUCCAAGGUGUGCACUAGCAGGCAGCUGGAAUCGGAAGCUGCAGGCGGGCGUUGAACCCACGCACUCCAAAAUGGGACGUGGAUGUCCCGACUGAUGCUGAACUGCCCGGCCGAACACGGGCCUCAGAAGCCUGGAAUUACUGAAAGGGCUGAAGACUACUCAGUUGCAAAACAACGUUAAUCAUGGUUUCCAGGGACUUAAAACAUGCACACAAGGUAAUGAAAGUGACAGCAGCAGCACACAUGGCGAGAAGUGGGGAAGUGGAAGGCGCAGUCGUAGUGGUUUGCUUGGGAAUGGAGAGGGACAAGCACUAAUUCCAGGUAGAGGUUACUAAGUUACGGAUGCUCACUACAUCCCCAGGGUAAGCACUCACAGAUUUGUAAAGAGAAUCACUAAGUGCAUUAGUAGUAAAGAAAGGAUGGCAGAGUCAUGGCAAAGACCGAAUGCAGAGGAAGACAGGGACUGGAAGGUAAGGUUCAAAUGGCGGAGGCUAUGAAUGCAAAGAAAGCAGCUGAGAUGGUGUGAAUCCAACUACACUUGAUGCAAAUCCAAAGACAGCUGACGGUUGAUCAAUGGAGUUCCUGGAUCCCAGUUUAGGCCUGGCCCAGCACUGACUGUUGUAACAAUUUUGGAAGUGAACCUGUGGAGGGAAGACCUGUGUGUGUGUGUAUGUCACCUGCCUUCAUAAAUAAAAGAAUAAAGAAAUCUUCCACCCUGACAUGGCUCUAUCUCCAACCAAAGGUCAUUCCACUCAGCUCCAAACCAAUCAGAAGAAAUGAGUGUCCGCACCUUAACUGCACCUUAACCUUAACUUCCGCCCAGAGUACCCCAAUGGGGGUUCAUGUUGCACAACACUGACAUAUUGAGCAUGCUGCGUGCAAGAAAUACAACAGAACAGCAGGCUGGGUGCACAGGUGCGAAUCCAGGUGCCAUGUACUGAGGGGGUAGGCCAGAACUCCAAGCUGGGUCCCCGUCAAAGUGCCACGUGCCAAAGGGGCACCACCAUGCCUCCUCAUGUGAUUAAAAACCCCUGCCCUGAACCCUCGUUGAGCCAGUCAGUAGAACUUUUUCCCCAUGGUGCUGUGUCCAAGCUUAAGCCCACAAUAAACCUUGUCUGGGUUGUGUGUUGGCCUCAUGUCAAUUGCUAUUACAAGUGAGUCAAAGAAUCUGGCGUUGGUGCUAGGAUGGGCGAAGAAGGCUGGCACUGUGGUGCAGCAAGUUAAGCCACUGCCUACGAUGCUGGCAUCCCACGUCCCAGCUGCUCCACUUCUGAUCCAGCUCCCUGCUGAUGACCUGGGAAUGCAGCAGAAGA